rnacentral:misc_RNA from 1 species
AAAUGCGAUAAUUAAUGUGAAUUGCAGAAUUCAGUGAAUCAUCGAGUCUUUGAACGCACGUUGCGCCCCCUGGUAUUCCGGGGGGCAUGCCUGUCCGAGCGUCAUUGCUGCCCUCAAGCACGGCUUGUGUGUUGGGCUUCCGUCCCUGGCAACGGGGACGGGCCCAAAAGGCAGUGGCGGCACCAUGUCUGGUCCUCGAGCGUAUGGGGCUUUGUCACCCGCUCCCGUAGGUCCAGCUGGCAGCUAGCCUCGCAACCAAUCUUUUUAACCAGGUUGACCUCGGAUCAGGUAGGGAUACCCGCUGAACUUAAGC